UACAGAGGUCUCAAGCGUUGUUCGGAUUCAUUGGGCGUAAAGGGUGCGUAGGCGGCUUCCUAAGUUUGAUGUGAAAUCCUGGGGCUCAACCCUGGAACUGCAUUGAAUACUGGGAGGCUAGAGUACUGGAGAGGAAACUGGAAUUUACGGUGUAGCAGUGAAAUGCGUAGAGAUCGUAAGGAAGACCAGUGGCGAAGGCGAGUUUCUGGACAGUUACUGACGCUGAGGCACGAAGGCCAGGGGGAGCAAACGGG
rnacentral:rRNA from 1 species